UACGGGGGGAGCAAGCGUUGUUCGGAUUUACUGGGCGUAAAGGGCGCGUAGGCGGCCACUGCAAGUCAGUUGUGAAAUCUCCGGGCUUAACCCGGAAAGGUCAACUGAUACUGCAGGGCUAGAGUGCAGAAGGGGCAACUGGAAUUCUCGGUGUAGCGGUGAAAUGCGUAGAUAUCGAGAGGAACACCUGCGGCGAAGGCGGGUUGCUGGGCUGACACUGACGCUGAGGCGCGAAAGCCAGGGGAGCAAACAGG
rnacentral:rRNA from 1 species